CCCAACAGGAAACCAGCCAGUACAGCAAGAACAGCAGCAAUAUCCUCAUUUCUUGCUUUCUUCAGUCAGGACUGGGUAACAGUUUUUCUUUUGACAAAAUUCAGCACCUUUAACUUCAAUAACUUUCCUUCCUGAAAAGGUGCAGCAAGUUAAGGAGACAUGGUGGGAUGUCUGGAAGCUCUCUUUGCUUGUUUCUUCCCUGCUGUUCUAUGGGCCAUUCACCUGGAGCAGGAGCAGAUCUCUGUCACAAAGCAGCCACUUCAAGGCAGCUUUGCAAAAGUCACUUGCAAAGUGUUUGGUGGAUCAGACUCUACCUACAUCCACUGGUACCGAGCCCGAGCUGGAGAGGCCCCACAGAGGCUGCUAUACCUCAUUCUCUCUGGGUCAGACUUAAAGCGAGAGGCAGGCUUCUCCAGUGACAAAUUCUCAGCCUAUGCAACACAAAGCAUCUCUAACUUGUUGGUGCACAAACUGGAAGAGACAGAUAGCGGCUGCUAUUACUGUGCCACAUGGGAUUUUACACAGUGCCACAAGCUUCCUGCAACCCUGAACAAAAACCACCACAGCUCGGUGUGUGGGGCUCAACUCUCAUAUUACUGCUGCAGCAGAGCAGGCUGAGCCCUAGGUCCUACCCAGGCACGGCAGCCUACAGAACAGGCAUAGCCUCAAUUCCACAAACCACGGCCAGUGUGAACUCCUGUUCGGCCAGCCCAAGUUGUGCAGGGAUUUGCCUCAGCCAGGGAAGUGGGAGUUUACCUACUGGGUGGCGCAAAGGUGACAUCCAGUGACUGCCUAUCAGUGCUAGCUCCAUCUCUAAAGGCAGAACAAGGCCUGGUCUACACUAGAGUUUAUGUAGAUUUUAG